AACGAACGCUGGCGGCAUGCCUAACACAUGCAAGUCGAACGAGACCUUCGGGUCUGGUGGCGCACGCGUGCGUAACGCGUGGGAACCUGCCCUUAGGUUCGGAAUAACUCCCCGACAGGGGUGCUAAUACCGGAUAAUGUCUUCUGACCAAAGAUUUAUCGCCCUUGUAUGGGCCCGCGUUGGAUUAGCUAGUGGGUAGGGUAAAAGCCUACCAAGGCGACGUUCCAUAGCUGGUCUGAGAGGAUGGGCAGCCACACUGGGAGUGGGACACGGCCCGGACUCCUACGGGAGGCAGGAGUGGGGAAUAUUGGACUAUGGGCGAAAGGCUGAUCCAGCAAUGCCGCGUGAGUGAUGAAGGCCUUAGGGAUGUAAAGCUCUUUUACCCGGGAUGAUAAUGACAGUACCGGGAGAAUAAGCACCGGCUAACUCCGUG
rnacentral:rRNA from 1 species